rnacentral:rRNA from 1 species
ACGGGAGGCAGCAGUGGGGAAUAUUGGGCAAUGGGCGAAAGCCUGACCCAGCGACGCCGCGUGAAGGAAGACGGUCCUCGGAUUGUAAACUUCUUUUAUAAGGGACGAACAAUGACGGUACCUUAUGAAUAAGCCACGGCUAACUACGUGCCAGCAGCCGCGGUAAUACGUAGGUGGCGAGCGUUAUCCGGAUUUACUGGGUGUAAAGGGUGUGUAGGCGGGAUUGCAAGUCAGAUGUGAAAACUAUGGGCUUAACUCAUAGCCUGCAUUUGAAACUGUAGUUCUUGAGGGUCGGAGAGGUAACUGGAAUUCCUGGUGUAGCGGUGAAAUGCGUAGAUAUCAGGAGGAACACCGGUGGCGAAGGCGGGUUACUGGACGAUUACUGACGCUGAGACACGAAAGCGUGGGGAGCAAACAGGAUUAGAUACCCUGGUA